rnacentral:lncRNA from 1 species
AAGCACCACUGAAAGAUAACAAAAUAUGUAAUGCUGCAAAAUGAAACUUACCUGAAGCAAAGUUGUACUUGACUUCUUUUAUAAAACAGCGUUAUAACUCCAAAUAUUGCGAACUCCCAGACCAACGUUUAAACAUUCUGAAGACAAGUAGCCUGGAUUUAUGAUGUGAGGCAGUUAAUUAAAAGCCGUUUAUUCAGCGUUUUGCAAUUUUAGCUAACCUUGGGGGUUUGCGCGCUGUUGCGAUGCCAUCAGACAGCCAAUCAGCGUUGUGGCAUUUGGCAUUUGGAUUCAGGUGAUUGGUUAAAAAAACUGGGCUGCAGAACUCGGCGUUUAGAUCGCGUGAUUUGCGUGAUCCUGCACUUGCUAAGCAAAUGAGGCUGAGAUGAAUGGGAAUGUCCAAGGUAUCAGCGUGUCCCGUUUAUGGCUGCUAAUUAGUGAUGAGAGCUUGUGUGUGGUGAACGGACCGAGCUGGGCUUCAUCAUCUUUACCACCAUCUUCCUCGUUCUGAAGGACUGUUGCUGAAUCUCAGGAUAUAAUCA